GCCAUUCCAUAAUGUCUAGAGUUCCUCAGGUGGCCUAAAGGCAACAUGCCAGCCAACCACCUGGCCACCCAUGACCCUGUGCUAAACUGCACUAGAGCCUGAUGCUCAACAAAUGCCUUUUCAGACAGAAAGAGACAGACUGGCUGACGAACUGAAGGCCGCAGGAGAGGUCCCACAACCAGCCCAGACCAGCACCUACAGGGAAGAGCACUUGGAAGUCCUUGGAAACCUCCUUCCGAGGUUCACAGUUCUCCCUGAGGAUUUGGGAAGAAGUUCAGAGUGGCUAUUACAUUGGUGAAGAUGUCAGAUGAAGUGGAGAAGUUAAGAGCAAAGCCCUUCUGCGGGGUGCCCCAUUUGUGAGCAACUGCAUUUCUGUAGGAAGAAGGUGAGUCCCAGACCUGCCCCACUGGACCUCACGCCCCGCUGGAGGGAGCACAAGCCAGAGGAGUGGGCAGAGGAGCAGUUCCACAGAAUACCAGAAGAGAGAGGUCACAUAGAGCUGGAGUUACGAAGAAGUACUAUGCAGAGGACCCUGAACUUGGGCCAGGUCCUACAGGAGGAACUUAAGAUGAAAAGUCCACAGGAGGUAGAAAGAAAACUGCAUGAAAAAGAAUGAUAAAGACGAUUUAGAAUAA